AAUAGAUACCCUGGUAGUCCACGCAGUAAACGAUGAUUACUCGCUGUUUGCGAUACACAGUAAGCGGCUUAGCGAAAGCGUUAAGUAAUCCACCUGGGGAGUACGUUCGCAAGAAUGAAACUCAAAGGAAUUGACGGGGGCCCGCACAAGCGGAGGAACAUGUGGUUUAAUUCGAUGAUACGCGAGGAACCUUACCCGGGCUUGAAAUGCAUCUGACAGGAGCAGAGACGCUCUCUCCCUUCGGGGCAGAUGUGUAGGUGCUGCAUGGUUGUCGUCAGCUCGUGCCGUGAGGUGUCGGCUUAAGUGCCAUAACGAGCGCAACCCUCAUCAUUAGUUACCAUCAGGUUAAGCUGGGGACUCUAAUGAGACUGCCAUCGUAAGAUGUGAGGAAGGUGGGGAUGACGUCAAAUCAGCACGGCCCUUACGUCCGGGGCGACACACGUGUUACAAUGGAUGGUACAAAGGGCAGCUACAUGGCGACAUGAUGCUAAUCUCCAAAACCAUUCUC
rnacentral:rRNA from 1 species